GUAGGUGGCAAGCGUUGUCCGGAAUUAUUGGGCGUAAAGCGCGCGCAGGCGGUUCUUUAAGUCUGAUGUGAAAGCCCACGGGCUCAACCGUGGAGGGUCAUUGGAAACUGGAGAACUUGAGUACAGAAGAGGAAAGCGGAAUUCCACGUGUAGCGGUGAAAUGCGUAGAGAUGUGGAGGAACACCAGUGGCGAAGGCGGCUCUCUGGUCUGUAACUGACGCUGAGGCGCGAAAGCGUGGGGAGCAAACAGGAUUAGAUACCCUGGUAGUCCACGCCGUAAACGAUGAGUGCUAAGUGUUAGGGGGUUUCCGCCCCUUAGUGCCGCAGCUAACGCAUUAAGCACUCCGCCUGGGGAGUACGGCCGCAAGGCUG
rnacentral:rRNA from 1 species